rnacentral:lncRNA from 1 species
UCACUCAAGGUACUAGACGGGUUCAAGAUAUAAAGGCUAGAAUUCCUAUGGCCUGGGGAGCUAGAGGAUUGGUUUUGGGCUUGGAUAAGAUUCAUCAUAUUGUGAAGAGUUCCAUCAUUCUUCUCCUUUUCCUUGGCAAGCUCAGUUCUCAGAGCAUAUCUCUCAGAUUCCACCUCUUCCACACAAGCCUUUAGCCUAUCUAUCUCAGCAUCCUUGGCUUCAAUUUCCUGAACAACAGCCCUGACUUUACUGUUGAUAGGUAUCUUCUUGGAUAACCAGGUUCAUUUGGGAUGGCAUCGACUAAAUAGUCACAAGAAAGCAAUAUAUUAAUUUCAAAUGAAUCCUUGUUUGAGGCUAUUUCCCAUUUCUUAAAGGCACAUUGCACCUAUCCAGAACCGUAGUCAGAAUAAAGCCAUAGGGGUACCAUGAG